CUGGCAUUGCACAUCAUCAGUAGUUAAAUGAGUACACAUAGAAUUAAUACAUUAAGUAUUAUCCAACAAAACUUAUAUCCAUGUUGUACUGGCUCAAUUGAAUAAAGGCACUCAACAUUUUUUUGUUUUUGUGUCCCAUUAUGUAUUAUCAUGCUGUGUCCUCUGUAUACUUCACAUAGUACGGAAUGUUUCAGAACUUUGAAGUAGCUCCCCCACGCCUCGCCCUGAAGCCUGUUUGCAAACUGACACUUAAAACUUUA